rnacentral:rRNA from 1 species
GAUGAACGCUGGCGGCGUGCCUAAUACAUGCAAGUCGAGCGAAGAGAUGAGAAGUUUCUUCCUCUGACGUUUGCGGCGGACGGGUGAGUAACAUAUGUAACAUCUAUGUUUAAGACGGGGAUAACUUCGGGAAGACGGCGCUUAUACCAUAUAAUAUAUUGAACCGUAUGGUUCAAUAAUAAAAUGCGAUUUUACUGUUACUAAUUGGUGCUUCCGUGCCGUAGUAGCUAGUUGGUAAGGUAACGGAUUACCACGGCAACGCAGAGUAGCCGACCUGAGAGGGGGAUCGGCAAAACUGGAACGGAACAACGGCCCAGACUCCUACGGGAGGCAGAAGUAGGGAAUCUUGCGAAAUGGGCGAAAGCCGGACGAAGAAAGGCCGCGGGAGGGAGGAAGGUCUUCGGAUGUUAAAACUCUGUUAAAAGGGAAGAACAAAUGGGUAAGUAAAAAUGCACGUCGUGACGGUACCUAAUCAGAAAGCCACGGCUAACUACGUG